UUUUUAUUUGAAGUAAUCAUACAAUCCAUUCAUUAUCUGAAAUAAAUUCCUGUGCUCUUUUGUCUUAAAAUGCUGUCACUGUUGCUUUCACAUCUCUCAAAGUCAUCUCAAGAUUAAAAUCUACACUGAAAUUAAAGAACUCUGUUUAGCUAUCUCUUGGACCACAUUACUGUCCUUACUUUAAUUAGGUAUCAUAUGUAUAUAGGACAUUUGCUGCAAGGGAGCUGGCAGUCCUCAUCAAACUCCAGGAAGUAAAUAGGAGCUACUUUUCAUCUCAGUGCUCGAAUUCAUACGUGGAGGCAUCCAGCAGUUCAUAAUGAGCCCAAGGUCACCCGGUACAUGAAAAGCAGUCCUGAAAAUCAAAGCCAGGAUUUUGCAGCCUGAAACUUCUCCCUGAGAAUGGAAAUCUCUUCACAGAAUGUUCAGUCUCAUAGUUCUGAACCCUAAGAGAUAAUUUAGUUCAACAUCUUCGCUUUGCAAAUAUGGAAACAAAGGACUUCCAUAAUCAAGGACCACAGCUGGGUGACUUACACAACAGAAAUUUAUUGUCUCACAGUUCUGGAGGCUGGAAGUCUGAAAUCAAGGUGUCAGCAAGUGCAAUUGUUGAAGAAAGCUGUUGCUACUUGGAAUUACCUUCAAUUAGAAGGUUGAGUAGAAGAAGGAUGAACCAGAAAAACUGAGUACUCAUCUCAAAAGCAUUUCACUUCUGAUUCUCUACCCAUAUAUCCUAUAAAAGUUGUAUCCAUAGAGAAUCAAAAAAGCUUAUAUUUCACCUCAAGGCUAAACAGAGGUGAUCCAAUAUCCUGCCAGAGUGUAUGCUUUGUUUUUCUGGGAAAGAUCUCCCUGAAAAAGGACAAGACUUGAGAAGUGCAUUUUGUUAUAGAAGAUGCAGAGUUCCGAGAAAAUCAAAAUAUGGUGAAGAUGCAGAUUUCCGAGAAAAUCAAAAUAGGGUGAAGAUGCUGGAUAGUGGAAGAGAAGAGGAAGUGUGCCCUCCUGCAAUCAUAUAAGGAUGUCAUCAUUCCAUUCAUUAAAGGCAAUCCAAACCUUUAGAAGCAUAUUGAUUGUCCUGUGCUUGAUCAAACAAGAAGAAAUCAGACCCUAUUAAGUUUACGAACCUCUUUUCUAGCCCAAUAUUCUAAAUUCUACUAUGGCAUGCUGCCAGAAACCCAGAAUUCAUAAAAAUGUCUUCAAGAAAAGCUAUGAAUGUAACAGUAAAAAGGUGAGAGGACUGUAGGAUGCUAAUGGCUAAUCAUGCAGAAAUUCUUUUAAAAAUAUUAGAAUGCCAGGUUCCAUCUUAUGCUCUUACUGCAAGAAAAUUAUGUGUGAAUCAUAG
ensembl:lncRNA